rnacentral:rRNA from 1 species
GACGAACGCUGGCGGCGUGCUUAACACAUGCAAGUCGAACGGUGACCUCGGAGCUUGCUCCGGGCGAUCAGUGGCGAACGGGUGAGUAACACGUGACCAACCUGCCCCUAGCUCUGGGAUAACCCCGGGAAACCGGAGCUAAUACCGGAUACGAGACCGAGCGGCAUCACACGGUCUGGAAAGUUCUUCGGCUAGGGAUGGGGUCGCGGCCUAUCAGCUUGUUGGUGGGGUAACGGCCCACCAAGGCGACGACGGGUAGCCGGCCU